rnacentral:rRNA from 1 species
ACAGCAGCCGCCGCGGUAAUACGGAGGGGGCUAGCGUUGUUCGGAAUUACUGGGCGUAAAGCGCACGUAGGCGGCUUGGUAAGUUAGAGGUGAAAGCCUGGAGCUCAACUCCAGAAUUGCCUUUAAGACUGCCGAGCUAGCAGGUGAGAGAGGUAAGUGGAAUUCCGAGUGUAGAGGUGAAAUUCGUAGAUAUUCGGAAGAACACCAGUGGCGAAGGCGGCUUACUGGCUCAUACUGGACGCUGAGGUGCGAAAGCGUGGGGAGCAAACAGGAUUAGAUACCCGCGUAGUCCCUGUCUCUUAUAC